AUCCCUACAACGUGUCCAUUUACAUGCAGGAUGGGGUACAGGUGGGCAGAGCAGCCACUCACACAGCACAGCUGAGCCCAUCCAGCUCCCCUAUAUAGGGUUGGGCUCAGGAAGGCUUCUCCUUUUUGUUUGGGGUUUGGGCAGAGGGGGAAGGGAAGAGCAGUAGUAUUCACCAGGCUGCUGGUAUGCAGCUGGCAGUACCUGUAAAGCGAGGGAAGAUCAUACGGAAGCGUUACAGAGUUGGUAGCAGCAGCUCAGGGUCAGCAAUGCCUUCUACCUGGGGCCAUGUGAACUAAGAACAUUAAUUGAGCCUCCUGGGUUUCUGCAUGGUGAUGCCCGAGAGGAGCCCUCAGCAUCACUGCGGGGAGCUGGGGAUGCUGCAUUGGGGAGCGGGGUCACACUGCCCUCAAUGCUCUGCCCUGGGCCAGGGGGCACCGGGAAGAGGGGGUGCCAGGCGUGCAGGAGUGGUGGUCCCAGUGCUCUCCGUGCUUCUCCCAAGGAUGCUCCUGGCCUCUGGGCAGCUCUGAAACCUCCCUUUUGGCUUAGAAAAUCAAACAAAAAACCCACAGGUGCUCUAACAGCUGUUCAUCUGCACACCAGGGGUGAGCUGGGGUGGGGAAAAGCAGGCUGCAACCCCAAAAGUUUGGUGCUCCCUGAGGUGAUGCAGCUCCUGGGGAUGGAAGAAUCACUCUGACCCCCGUUGCCUUACUGGGAACUGCACAUUUUCCCAACCCACACCUUACUGGGGUCCCCAUCGCAGCGCUGG
rnacentral:lncRNA from 1 species